AGUUAGUUAACUUGGUCAGUUAGUUUAGUAAACUAACUUUAAUUUCAAAACCCUAACUUCAUGUUCAUGGAAUUAAGGUUCACAUGGUUAUUUCAGGAAGACUGCCUCCCUCAGGUGAGGAAUCUUUCAGUAUUGAUUUUGGGGUUCUAAAGGUAGAAUUUGUUUUGUAUCAUGCUUUGCUUUGGUUCUGUCUUGUACCCUCUCAGCUGCAAUUCUGUUCUGGACUUCCUUCCAUUCUGAGGGGCUUGGCCACUGCAAAUGUUGUACUUUUUUUGGAUGUAAAUACAUGGAUUGUCUACCCGUAGUAUCAUGUGUUGAAGACACCUCUGUGCGUAGCAGUGAGUCGCGAAGUGCGCUUGGAGGUCCAGUGCUCGAAGCAGAUACUGCACUUGUGUGGGGGUCUUGCAUUGUAGCUGUGAGGAGCAUGCUUGGUUUUAGACUGGCUUGUAAAGCCAUGCUGUUAAGUUCUUUACAUUCAAGAGCUUGGUAGGCCUAGAACAGAAAUAAUGUAAUAUGUCAUUGAUUUAGAGAUGUUGUUCAACUCCAGGAAGAGGACAACAUUUGUGGGACUUCAGUAGUGAAACAGUUAAGGGAAAUUUGUUUUCUUUGUAGCCCAUAUGGCUGUUCUCCAGGUCUGAUCAGAGAGCAAGUCCUAGUGGGGAUCUAUUUAGAAGACUGCAGCUAUUAUGUUAGGAAAAGUAGAGAAUUAGAGCCUUUUUGCCUUUCAAGAUGUCAAAAGGUACUUUGUUACUAAAAGCAAUAAAAUUGCUUUAAUGCCUUUUUAAUUAA